rnacentral:rRNA from 1 species
GACGAACGCUGGCGGCGUGCUUAAUACAUGCAAGUCGAGCGAGGCCUUGGAAUUGGAGUCCUUCGGGAUGAAGAGUCCUUGGCCUAGCGGCGGACGGGUGAGUAACGCGUGGGCAACCUACCCCAAAGUCCGGGAUAACAGUGGGAAACCGCUGCUAAUACCGGAUGGCUUUACCUGAGGGCAUCCUCGGGUAAAGAAAGGUUACGCUUUGGGAUGGGCCCGCGUCCCAUUAGCUAGUUGGUGAGGUAACGGCUCACCAAGGCGACGAUGGGUAGCCGGCCUGAGAGGGUGAACGGCCACACUGGGACUGAGACACGGCCCAGACUCCUACGGGAGGCAGCAGUAGGGAAUAUUGCGCAAUGGGCGGAAGCCUGACGCAGCGACGCCGCGUGAGCGAAGAAGGCCUUCGGGUCGUAAAGCUCUGUCCUUGGGGAAGAAGGCGAAAGCUGACGGUACCCAAGAAGAAAGCCCCGGACUAACUACGUGCCAGCAGCCGCGGUAAGAUCACGUGUA